rnacentral:rRNA from 1 species
GUGAAUUGCAGAAUUCAGUGAAUCAUCGAAUCUUUGAACGCACCUUGCGCUCCUUGGUAUUCCUUGGAGCAUGCCUGUUUGAGUAUCAU